GACGAACGCUGGCGGCGUGCUUAACACAUGCAAGUCGAACGGAAAGGCCUGCUUUCCCUUGUGGAUUGCGGGUACUCGAGUGGCGAACGGGUGGGUAACACGUGAGUGAUCUGCCCCCAACUUGGGUAUAAGCCUGGGAAACUGGGUCUAAUUCCCGAUAGGACUGCAGGGUGGUGCCUGUGGUGGAAAACGAUUUUCUAGUGGUUGGGGAUGAGCUCGCGGCCUAUCAGCUUGUUGGUGGGGUAAUGGCCUACCAAGGCGGCGACGGGUAGCCGGCCUGAGAGGGUGGACGGCCACAUUGGGACUGAGAUACUGCCCAGACUCCUACGGGAGGCAGCAGUGGGGAAUAUUGCACAAUGGGCGGAAGCCUGAUGCAGCGACGCCGCGUGGGGGAUGACGGCCUUCGGGUUGUAAACUCCUUUCGACCGCGAGGAAGCCACCUGGUUGGAAGGGUGGUGACGGUAGUGGUAGAAGAAGCACCGGCUAACUACGUG
rnacentral:rRNA from 1 species